rnacentral:snoRNA from 1 species
GGCUUGAUGAAAUUUUUAGCACUUGAUUGAUGAUAGUUGUCCUCUAAGAAGUUCUGACUUU